GAUGAACGCUGGCGGCGUGCCUAAUACAUGCAAGUCGAGCGAACAGACGAGGAGCUUGCUCCUCUGACGUUAGCGGCGGACGGGUGAGUAACACGUGGAUCACCUACCUCUAAGACUGGGAUAACUUCGGGAAACCGGAGCUAAUACCGGAUAAUAUAUUGAACCGCAUGGUUCAAUAGUGAAAGACGGUUUUGCUGUCACUUAUAGAUGGAUCCGCGCCGCAUUAGCUAGUUGGUAAGGUAACGGCUUACCAAGGCAACGAUGCGUAGCCGACCUGAGAGGGUGAUCAGCCACACUGGAACUGAGACACGGUCCAGACUCCUACGGGAGGCAGCAGUAGGGAAUCUUCCACAAUGGGCGAAAGCCUGACGGAGCAACGCCGCGUGAGUGAUGAAGGUCUUCGGAUCGUAAAGCUCUGUUAUUAGGGAAGAAAAAAUGUGUAAGUAACUAUGCACGUCUUGACGGUACCUAAUCAGAAAGCCACGGCUAACUACGUG
rnacentral:rRNA from 1 species